rnacentral:rRNA from 1 species
AGUCACUGACAUUAGAUACCCCGGUAGUCCCAGCCGUAAACAAUGUGCGUUAGGUGUGUCGGUAACCACGCGUUACUGAUGCGCCGAAGAGAAAUCGUGAAACGCACCACCUGGGAAGUACGGUCGCAAGGCUGAAACUUAAAGGAAUUGGCGGGGGAGCACCACAACAGGUGGAGCCUGCGGUUUAAUUGGAUUCAACGCCGGACAUCUCACCGGAUAAGACAGCUGAAUGAUUGUCAAUCUGAAGGUUUUACAUGACUAGCUG